GUGUGCUGCAGUCCUUGGGGUCACAAAGAGUCGGACACGACUGAGCGACUGAACAACAACAAAGGAAAACCACAAGGUUAUAGUGAAGGUGUCAGGGUUCCUUAGCUGACCUGCCCUAGAAGGACGGGAGUGGGGAGCAGAUUCCAGCCCUGGAGAGGGUGCUGCGGGCAACCUGAGCCCGCUCCUGCACGAGUGUCAGCAGAGGGGGAGGGCGGCCUGGUGGGUCAUUCCAAUUUGCAUCCUUCCUCUGAACCCUGCCAGUGUCACCUGGCGACACCCCCAAGUCCUCCCAGAACACAGGGUGAGGUGGGGGAAGAUGGAAGUGGAUUUGUGUGGGUCUAACAGGAGACAGACAACACAAUCCUCUACUUUAAAGAAAAAAAAAAGAAAUUAAAAUAGUUAAAACCAGAGCAAAAAGAAGAAAAAGGAUACAUUUUUUCUUUUAAAGAUCAAAACAAAAACCACAGAUUGGGAGGUUACAAACAGGCCCUUGAGCAGAAAAGAUCCCCAAGAUGAUUUGACUGAACCUGGCAGAUGCCUUAUCCGCAUCUUAAUUUACUAAUUAAACAUUGGGAGAUUUUACACCGAAAUCUGGAUUUCCUGUUUUUCUCAAACAAUUCCAAAAUCCGACAUCAUGGCCCCAUAGCUAGAGCUGGGAAGCUGCUGCCCCCUGGCGGGUCGACGGAGAUGUGCAAGAUCUUUGCCGCCCACCUGCUGUCUCACUCACCUGGGGUCACUCACUAGGAUUCGCCCAGAGAGGCUGAUGGAGUUAAAAUGCAAAAAUGAUUCUAAGCUUUCAGAAACUGUUCAGGGCUCUUGAGUCAUAAAGGUAGUGUACUGAUUCAUCAGAAGAGGAAAUUGUUUCUAGGUUCAGUUUCUGAGGAGAAACGCAGCAAGUCCUUUUUCUCCUGUGGUGUUGCAUGCUCACAAGAAGCUCGCCCAGCAGAGGAAAGGGUAAUGGGAGUGACAGGAACAAACCCACACCGUGCAUGUUCCUGCUCUCGGGGCCUGGGUGCUGCUGAAGACCCUUCCAUAGUUCCCGUUGGCCCCUGGAACAAGGGUUCUCAACAGGGGGGAUUUCUCCACCCCCACCAACUGGGGGCGAGGGGGCCAUCUGGCAAUGUCUGGAGACACUUUCGAUGGUCAUGACUGGCGAGCUCCUGCUGGCAUCCUGUGGGUGUGAGCUAGAGACGCUGCUGAGCGCCCCACAGGGUGUACAGGACGACCCUCCACCCACCCCACCCCACCCUCAACACAGACCCAUCUGGCCCUUGAUGUCAGCCAUGCCAGUGCCGAGAAACCCCGCUCAAGAAUAAAGUCCAGGUUCACUCAGUGCCCUGGCGAGACCCCCAGUGCCGGCCUGGCUUGUAUCAGUCACCCCCUCCCUCUCCUCUGCUCCCUCCACACUGGGCGCACACUCGGUUCUGUUGCCCACAAGCUCUCUCAGACAUUGGGGCCUCUGUAUAUGCGGUACUGCUCCCUGGACCACCUUCAUCUGCCCAGGGACAGCCCACAGCCCCGGGCAUCACAUUACAUGGCACCACACAUCUUUUGAGGCGCUCCUGCCCCAGCCCCAGGCUACUAAUGAUCACCCUCCAUAGUCCGCUCUGGUCUAAAUCUAACCUAUUGUGUCUGCAGUACCGAUGGCCACUCAACACUGUUGGGUGAACACAUGGCCAGGCCCUCAUCUCUAGUCACCUUAAAGAAAUCAAGUUCAAGUCCUCCAGAGCUGCCUCCCGUCUCCAGCAUCACCCGCAGGAAACACACGGCUCCUGGGAGGAAGUGAAUGAGCCUGAAGGCUUCACUAGCUCACUUCCCAGCAGGAGCAGCUCUGGCAAGCGCCUGCGAUUCCCCACUCAUUUUUUUGUAAGUUGUUCCCACUUGGCUUUGAAAACCUAAGAAUGCAGGCAAGUUAAUUACCAUUUGGCAUCAGUCAGCCUGGACUCACACAAGUCCUCGUCCUACAUAUUUAUUAAGAAAUCCAUCGACCCGCAUUUUUCUAGACAGAGCAAUUUCAGACACUUCCUGUCUCCAAGAAGUCAUUGCUAAUAUCGAAUUCCAGUAGUAUGUGAAACUGUGGCUGGCAGCCAGUAAAAGACGCUCUAAACCCCAGUCCUCCCUUGAUAGCUGAGCAAUUUGUGAGCAGCCUAACAGGCAGCGGAUUCAUUGAGCUCAGGGGGCUAAGCAUUCCUCUUCUCCUGAGGAUGGACGGCCCCAGAGGAGCCACUUCUGGAUGCAGAGUCGCUCACGUUCAUUCUCCCUGUGUUCACAACAGAACAUCAUUCUUCCAGAAGACCCCAAAGCACACCUGAAGUGACAAGGGGAAGUGCUGGAUGGCAGAUGGUGUUUCUAGACUGGAGCCCAGCAGGUUGAGGGGGGUGAGGGGCUGGUGGCACCCCUGCCUGGUGCCAGCCGGACCUCAGGCCCUCGGAGCUUAGAGCCCGUCUACCGCCCGGCGUGGCCUCGCUGUAACGUGGAGCCAGGCAUCUUGUUCUUCCUCUGUGCGGAUUUAAUGCCAUGUCUCUGGAAUGCAACCAGAACCGAGGAAGCAGGGAGCCUUGGGGAGAGAAAGUGCCUCAAGCUGUAAAUAGCAACAGAAUGCAACCCUGUGUUCUCGGUUGACAGGCGUUCCCUGGGGAAGGAGCCCUCCCGGCAGGAACAACAUUGCCAGUCUUUCAGCAACCCCCGACCGUGGUCCGUGAAGAGGUGUGGAUGUGACAGCGCUGUUAUUACGAGGAGAUGAGAUGGGACUGACUGGCGGGAUCAGGAAGCCCGCUGCCAGAACAGCCUGAGAGGCUGGGUGGUGAUGGCCCCUGGAAUGAAGGCCCCUGUGCACCUAACAGUGGGUGUCGCAGCUCCAAGACAGUAUCACCCAACACUCUGCACAGCGUGUCCCAUAGAUGAACACCCCAACCCCGAGGGCCUGAGUGAUGAUGUCCCCAGGGCGGCAUGGGGUGUGAGAGGCAGAGUGGGCCCCGGUCCCGCCUGUUACCCUCUGCAUCGCGCCAUUUCCCAGCCCUGCCUGCUCCGAGCUCAGGCAACCAGCACUGGUUUUAAGUGUCUGUCUUAGUCUGUUCGGGCGACUGUAACAGAAACACUGGGUGACUUAAAAACACAGAUAUUGAUUUCUCACAGUCUGGAGGCCGGGAAGUCCACAAUGGAGGCGCCAGAGGAUCCGGUGUCUCAUGAACCUCUGUUCCUCGCAUCACACGUGGUCACUCUCCCCCCACCCCCGGGACCCCACCUCCCUGGGGUCUCUUUUGUAAGGACACUAAUCCCAUCCGUGAGUGCUCCCCGCUCCUGACCUCAUCGCCUCCCAAGUUGGGACCUGGCGUAAGAAUUCUGUGGGGACACAACACCCAGGCUCGAGCACAGGUGGUACCUCGGCCUCUCCAAUGCUCUGCAGGAGACAAUUAGGCACCCGCCCCGCCCGCCUGCCUCCACCUCCCACCCCGGGCUGGCUCCGCCUCCUUUCUGCUUCCCGCCUGCUCUUCUUUUCUCCUGAAUCAAAGACAGAAAAGCAGAAGGCAGGAAGGCUUCCAGCGUCGCAGACGUACUGGAUGCAGAGUCGCUGCAACCUUGAACUCGUCAAAUAAAAAGUCUAAACAGAAGACCGUGAGAUGUAUGACCUUAGAUUGAAAACAUACCCUUGACUGGCCAGAUACAUGACUCACCAUGAUGACUAGACAUUCCUAAAAGCUGGUUGUGAUCAGCCACCCAGCCCGCCUCACAAUGAUGCAACAUGUGUGCGAUGUGACUGCAAAGUUGACCGAAUGAUAAACAAUGCCUUUUGUCCCCAUCAUCAUCAUCAGUGUCCCUGGAAGCACUGCCAAAGGGCAGAGAAGGAGCGGCGGGCCCUUGGGGCCCCUGCUUGACCCAGGCCUUCAGGAACAUCCCCUUCGCUCCUGUGGGCCGUCCUGCAUCCCGGGGUCACCUUCCCACAGUGGAGUUAGAAUCAGCUUGGCUGUGCCUUCUUGCCGUCCACCUCCUUAACCCUUGGUCCAAUGAUGCUCCAACCCACCACACACUUUGGCCGUUGGUCUCUUUUCUAGCCACUGGGACUAAUUUUGGGUGUGCCUUUGGUGACAACGGGAAUGGCAGUUACAGCCCAAUUCUGGGGUGAGUCAGGGAGGCCUUUGCCAUUUCUCCUGUGUGCAGUUUUGAGCCCUGAGACACCCCAGCUCUGCAGGUGGCCUUUCCGUUCCUGUUAACACAGGCAGGGGACAAUGUGAAAACGGUGAGACUGGAGAAACCAGAAAGCUGUGGAGAACUCCUGGAGCUGUUAACAUCUACUCACCUGUUGAGUCUUCAGACUAAUUCUGAAGAUCACCGGGAGAGAAUUUUCUAAAAAUUUUAUUGAAGAAAGACAAAUAUUGUAUAUUAAUGCAUGCAUAUGGAAUCUAGAAAGAUGGUACUGAUGAACCCAUUUGCAGGGCAGCAGUGGAGACGCAGACAGAGAACAGCUGUGUGGACUCAGUGGGGGAAGGAGAGCGUGGGACGAAUGGGGAGAGUAGCAGGGAAACAUACAGUACCAUAUGCAAGAUGGGCAGCCAGUGGGAAUUUGCUGUGUGAC